rnacentral:rRNA from 1 species
AUUGAACGCUGGCGGCAGGCCUAACACAUGCAAGUCGAGCGGAGCGGAUGACGGGCGAGUAAUGCCUAGGAAUCUGACUGGUAGUGGAGGAUAACGUCCGGAAACGGACGCUAAUCCCGUAUACUAUCAGAUUAGCCUAGGUGGGAUUAGCUAGUGGGUGGGGUAAAGGCCUACCAAGGCGACGACCCGUAACUGGUCGGAGAGGAUGAUCAGUCACACUGGAACGGAGAAACGGUCCAGACUCCUACGGGAGGCAGCAGUGGGGAAUAUUGCACAAUGGGCGCAAGCCUGAUGCAGACAGGCCGCGUGUGGGAAGAAGGCCUUCGGGUUGUAAAGCACUUUCAGCGGGGAGGCGUUACCCGCAGAAGAAGCACCGGCUAACUCCGUGCCAGCAGCCGCGGUAAUUC